AAUGCUAUAGACAGAACACGAAGGAGAAUUCUGCUGGGACUUAGAACCCAGACAGAAGCAUGGAUGGAUGCUCUUGAGGAUCCAGAUGGGACAAGACUCUGUUGGGGAUCAGACUAGGGAACAUUUGUACUGCAUUCUGACAAUUCUUUGUCUAAAUUCUACCCACACCCUGAAAAUUUGAGUGAGGAUGAACAUAAAGGUUUGUGGAAUGAAAGAAUUACAGUGCUAUGGAGGCUUGAACCGAAGCUUUAGAGAAAAGCCAGCGAGGCUACACAGUGGACAGCAAGAUCAGCGUCCUGACGAGAACUGCUGGGAGGCUGGUCUAUGAAUCUGCAAAGCUGAAGUAGCAAUGGGUAUCUCAGGAGAUGACAAGGAUGUGGGGAAGUUACUUGAGGACAGCUGGGGGCACUAAAUGUGACUGGCCAAAUGAAAGGCCAUGUGCACAUGCUGAGGCGGUAUGGGAGGGCUAUCUAUGCUUUUCAGAGCUUCGCUGUUACUACUGUGUGCCCUGGAUGGAGGUGGGAAGCCUAAGAUGAUACCGUGUGCCCCAAAUACCAGACUCAGAGCUACUGGAUUUAAUGUCUGCCCUACUAGGUUUCAGUAUUGCUUUGGUCUGGCCACAUCUCCCCUUUUGGAAUGAUGCUUACUUGGCACCAGCCUGUCUUGGCAGUAUACAACUCUCUCUCUCUCUCUCUCUCUCUCUCUCUCCCUCCCUUUCUUUUGUUUCAUAUGGGCUCACAAAUAAGAGUUGGCUUUGAGCCUUGGAAGAAAUUUUGAACUUUUGAACAGUAUUGAAACUAUGAAGAUCACAGGGACUCUUGAAAUUUAACCAACUGCAUUUUGCCUUAUGGGAGUGGGGCUGUUGUGAUUUGAAUCAUCUGCAAUGUCCCCCACAGGCCUGUGCUUUCAAGGCUUGUUCCUUGGAUGGUGGAGCUGGUCUGAGGGGGGAAUGUUGAACCUUUAGGUGGCUGGACCUUGCACUCUGCUUACCGGUUGGCUGGGAAGUAAAUAGCUUGUGUGCCUGUUGCUGCAGACACGUCUCCCGUUGUUGUGUCUUCCUAGCCUCGAGGAACCGAAAUUUCUCCAAAACCGUGAGCUAAGAUAAAUCUACAAGGUGUUUCUGUGGAGUAUUUUGAUCAAAGCAACUCAUCAGGGACUGGUGCAGUGCACUCCCAAGCAAAUUACAUUCUGUGCAGAUGCAAUGGGCGAUGACCAUGCAUUCAGACAGUUUAUUCUCUGGUGACUCUAACAACGGUUCUGUUGGAGAUGGACGGCUGAGCCCAGUUAUUGUUGUUUGGAGGUUAACUGAGGCAUGGAAGGCUAAUAGUGUAUUGGAAUUUAUGCUCCCCUUCUCCAGAGCAGAGUCAUCAGUGGGAGGAAGCUUCCAAAGACUACGUUUUCCAGCCUCCCUUGUCUUCAUGUGCAGCUCCAUGUGGCCUCAUUUAACAUGCAGCCUUUUAGUGUGGAUCGAGAAGUCACAGGCUAAGAAUUGCACAGAAGCCAUCAGUCCAGCCCCCAAAUGACCUCAUGGGGGAACACUGCUCGGUUAACACAUGGGCGUCACCAACCCGUAAUAGUCACUGCAAGAAGAAAGUCAAAUAACGACCAAUCAGAGAGACUGAAUAGUGACUUUGGAUUAGCUGCUCAAGGAUAGCCUCUGAGAUGUGUGGCAGGAGGGGCCAGUCAUGCGAAGCACUAUACAGAGACAAUCUAUGCAAAGGGCAUGUUAAAGCAGGCCAGAUUUGCUGGGAUGUGUAACACAAGGAGAAUUAAAUGGGACCUAGUACAGAAAGUAAAUGGGGUUCAAAUCAUGAACGUUGAGUUUUAGUCUGAGUUUGAAAAUGCAGUUUUAUUGGUUAAUUUGCUUCUUCUUCAGUGUGUGGAGCUCUGUGGCUGAUGUAGACGACGGGAUAUGGUAAUGUUAGAGUACAUAUGAGUGGUCUUGGUCAAGAGGCUGUGCACCCGUCCAUGUCUAUUGGUAGCCUAUACUUGCUGGUAGCUACCAAGACAGGAUGGAGUCUUAUGGCAUGUUUUAGAGGGGUUGUCAAUGACGUUUGUAUCUGGAGAAGCAUCAGAUAAGAAACCCUUGAUGUACAUAUGCGCUGAGAGGUUUACAGGGUCCCACAUGGGGUGGGGAAUCUGCAUAAUUUGGUUGUAAUUCUUCUGCGUGGAAGACUUCUCCACUCUUACUCACUGGCUUAUUGGUUCAUCAGUAUACAUCCACGCCUACCUUCCUAUUUGGGAUCACAUCCCAGUGUUACAUAGUUGCAGUAUGGGCUCUUUUCCUUGGUUCCCCUUCCAUUCAGUAUAUCUAUCCCAUCAGUGCAUUCUUCCUGUGCUUAUGUGUUUCCUGAUUGUGAGGCUCAAGGAUUGACAUGGAUAUUCCUUACUGCAGUUCCAGAACCAGCCAUUUCUCCUAGGAAUGCUAUUUCCUUUUACUGACAAUUCAUAGUUGAAACCGAGGUCUCUCUUCAAAGAGUGGUUGUUAGUUUGGAAAAUCAGUAUUUCUAAGCCCUCAAAAACAUUUACUUAGCUCCCAAUUUUGGGUAUCAGCCAUUUAAGGCAGGCUCAAUCAGGUAGGUUUCCCAGUCUCAACCAAUUUCAGUUGAUUUUGCUCCUACAUCUGUGGUUACCUGGUGGGUUGUCAAGCUUUAUGGCAGCCACAACUGGUAUGUCUAGGAUGACUAUACAUUUUUAUUCAGGGUCUUUUAUCGUCAAACACACUAGCUUAAGCCAGUUCUUCAUAGCAGGAUUCAGAAGCAUCAAGAAGAAAACCACACAAAGUAUUUUGGGUCUGUCUUAGGGUUUCUAUUGCUGUGAAGAGACACCAUUAUGGCAACUCUCAUAAAGGAAACCAUUUCACUGGGGCUGGCUUACAGUUUCAGAAGUUUAGUCCAUUACCACGAUGGCAGGAAACACGGUGGCAUGCAGGCAGACAUGGUGCUGGAGAAGGAGCUAAGAGUUCUAGAUAUUGAUUUGCAGGCAGCAGAAGCAACUGUGUGCCACACUGAGCAUAGGUUGAGUAUAGGUCUCCCAUCGUGACACACUUCUUCCAACAAGGCCACAUCUGCUCCAUUAAGGCCACACCUCCUAAUAGUGCCAUUCCCUAUGGGCCAAGCAUUCAAAUAUACGAGUCUAUGGGGGGCUAUUCCUAUUCAAACCCAUGACAGGGUACUAGAACAAACUCACUAAAUGGUGCCUCUGCUACCUCCUAUUGGCCAGAGCAAGUCAGGGGGUAAGCCUAGAUUUAAGGGGUGAAGAAAGAAAUUCCAUCCCUUAGGAGACACAAAUGCAGACAACCAUGCCAUAAAUUCCAUCGCUCAAGGGAAGCAUAGGCAAGCAACCAUGGCUGUAUGCAUAGUUAUGCGUACAUGGGGAACACUGACAGCCAUCCUGGCAACAGAGAGGAAGCAAGCAGAGUGAGAGUGUGAGAGGUCACUGUCUCGGGGGUUACAGCUGAACGUCUGAGACUGGAGAGUAUUAUACAACGGCAAAAAUAAAAGGUGAGAUAUUGACUCCUUGUUGAAAUUCAUAACUUAGCUGAGGCCAGAAGUAGACAUUUAUGGGUGGACAGAGGGGACUCAGAGAGAGCAGGUGGAAUAUGACUCCUCAAGAAUCACAGACAAGAACCACGGAAUAGUUCCGCACGAAGGCAACAGUGGUGGAGGAAGAAGGGGAAAAGAUGGACCUGUAUUUUACUGGUCUAGCGGGGGUCAAAAUCAUUUCAAGAAUUUCCUUCGAGCAAAAUCACUUGAACAACUGUCUGUAUCCAGCAAUAACCAUGCCUUUUUUAUACCCUUUCUCACCUUUUCCUACGGACACUUUGUAAGGUGGUUCGUAAUCUAUUUGGCAGUAUUUCUGUAGCCAAAAUGAGCAGUGUGAAAUAUAAGUAGGCUGGCUGCCUGAAGUCUCCCUACUCUGACAUGAAUUAUCAUUUGAUACUUAGAGUAUGCAACAUUUGCUUAAUGGACAUCAGAUUUGCAUCUAAGCUAAUGACCUGAGACCCUCAAAUCCAUAUUACUUACUUAUCUUUCCCUCCUAUUCUAUUUUCCUGAAGAAACUGUAUUUCAAGGAGAAUUUAUCCUUGAGAAGCAGCUGACUCCACCAUUAUAUGAUUGCUCUAAAGGUGGGAGAAGUCAAACUGGUGCCUCACUAGAAGCUUCACACCUACUGGGUAGCAUUCAGGGUUCUGUGUGGUGCUCAGCAUGCUCCUGGAAGAGAAAGGUCUUACAAGUCUACACAGAAGAGGAGGCAGAAAGAUUGCAAGAGCCAGACAUGAUGAAUGACUCCACAAUCAUCUGAGAGAACAGAAAGCCUCACUCCAGCCUUAUGAUGAGAAGAAAACACCAGGCGAGUUUUCACUGUUGGAUAAGUACUCAGUACCUGCCUGGAAGUACUCAAGUCUCAAGUCAUCACAAGCAAGGAAAGACUGACGAGACCAGGCCCAAGAGGAGGCUGAGGUAACCAGACGCAGAUGGUUACGAGAUGCAGUAUCACACCCAGAUACAGCAUGGCACCCAGCGCUGUGUACUGGAGUAGAAGAGAAGACAGCAGGGAAAAUUAACGUCCAGAUUAACUAUGGGCUUAGGUUGAUUUCACAGCUUGGCUAUUGUGACUAGAGCAGCAGUGAACAUGGAUGUGCAAGUGUCCCUGAGUUAUCUCGACCUGGAGACCUCGGGGGAAGCACCGAAGAGUGGUAUAGCUGGGUCACAUGGCAGAUCUAUUUUCAGACUGGAGGUGCAAACACAGUCAUUUGAAUGGAGACCUCUAUCUUUCCAAGUGCCCCGCCAUCCUUUUCACACUAGGAAGAGAGAGCGUCCAGUGCCUGCUGAGCUAACGAAAAUGGAUGGCUUUUCCCCUUAAUGGGGUUCACUUUGAUUUUCUGUCAUUGUGGUCAAUGACACAAGACCUGCUCCAGUGUCUGGACACUAGAGGAACAUCAUUUUCUCUCACAUCAUUGGAGCUGCAUUGUUUCCAAUCACCUGGCAGUUCCGUAUCCUUCAUGGCUGUCUUUGAUCCUGGUCCUAACAUUGUGCAAUUUCACAAGUGCAUAACACAUGCAAAAUCCAAUAAAUAAAGAUGUUUCUCAUUUCUGAAACUCUUCUAGACCAUGAAGGGAAACUGCAUAUGUCUUUGUUUGUGUUAUGUGUAUUUAAACUGUAUGAUGAAGAUCUUGACCUAUGCAUACGUCAUAGGAAGAUUAAAUCAACCGCAUUAGCGUAUCUACCAUUGGUCUUCCUACAAUUUGCUUUCUUGUUUGAGGCAAAAAUGUCAUUGGGAAGAAACCCUUAAGGAGGGUGUUGGAACCCUGGCCUCUCUUUCUCUUCUCUCUGGUUCCUGGCUCCUGCUAGGUGGGCAACUUUGAUCUAUCACGUGUUCCUUGGCAUGUGCCUUGUUUCUCUAAAACUAUUAACUGAAAGACCAUUGAGCAAUCAAUCCAAACUAUCUGAAACUAUGAUUAAAAAUACACCCUUUCCUCUAAUAAAUCUAUGGUUUCAAGUGUCUUCCACAAUGAUAGCCAACUCCGCAGUCCACUAAAUUCACACGGAUUUAUUUAUUUAUUUGUUUUGAAACAUGGGCUUAUGUUGCCCAGGUUGGUUUUGAACUCCCUAUGUAGCAGAGGUUAGCUUUGAAUUCUUGAUCUUUUUGUCUCCAUCUUUUAAGUGCUGGAACUAUAAGCAUGCACCACUAUGCCCAGCUCACACUGAAUGUGGAUUGAUUGUUCAUUCUUCCUUCUCAAGAGAAAAGCUCCUGUGGGUUUCAGGUAGAAUGCAAACAGCUGUCUUUAAAACAGGAAGCAGUUAUGCAUCAGAGUUAACUCUUGAAUUCACCAAACCAGAUCAAUUAAAGCAGGUGCCUCCUAUAGUCUCAAUAAGAAAGCCAUACUUACAUAAUCACAGUAUCCAUGGUCACAGUUCUCUGAGGUCAUGUGAUCAACAUUUAGAGUCCAGUAGGCAUGGAGUUGAGUAUUUUAUAUACUUUGAAUCCAUUUUAUCCUAGUGACCACACCAGAAAUAGACAUGUUUAAAGCCUGCAUGUCAGAUAGGAGUGAAACUCAGCAGGGCACUUUUAUUUCAUAAAGUCACCGGUAUCGGGAAGCCACAUCCUCCCAUUCCAGAGGCAAAGCCCAUAAGCCCUACACCAUGCUUACCUCUUCUCCAUUAACCAGAACACAUGAAUGAACACAGAGAAUGAAGGUGGAGAGGAAGUAG